GCCAGGUGUGGUGGUGCACGUCUGUAAUCCCAGCUGCUCAGGAGGCUGAGGUGAGAGGAUUGCUUGAGCCCGGGAGGUUGAGGCUGCAGUGAGCCAUGUUUAUGCCACUGCACUCCAGCCUGGGCAACAGAGCAAGACCCUGUCUCAA
rfam:Nomascus leucogenys chromosome 2, whole genome shotgun sequence.